rnacentral:tRNA from 1 species
ACCUGGGUGGCUCAGUCGGUUGAGUAUCUGACUCUGGAUCUUGGCUCAGGUCAUGAUCUCACAUGAUUGUGGGUUUGAGCCCCACCUUGGGUU